rnacentral:rRNA from 1 species
AGAUUGAACGCUGGCGGCAUGCCUAACACAUGCAAGUCGAACGGGAGUAGCAAUACUCUAGUGGCGGACGGGUGAGGAAUACGUAGGAAUUUGCCCUUAAGUGGGGGAUAACCCGGGGAAACCCGGAUUAAUACCGCAUGACCUCGAAAGAGCAAAGUGGGGGAUCGCAAGACCUCACGCUUUUGGAGAAGCCUACGUCGGAUUAGCUAGUUGGUGAGGUAAUGGCUCACCAAGGCGACGAUCCGUAACUGGUCUGAGAGGAUGAUCAGUCACACCGGAACUGAGACACGGUCCGGACUCCGUACGGGAGCAGCAGUGGGGAAUAUUGGACAAUGGGCGCAAGCCUGAUCCAGGCAAUGACCGCGUGUGUGGAAGAAGGUCCGUUCGGUUAGGUUAAA